rnacentral:rRNA from 1 species
GAUCGAGAGAAUCGUGGUGAAGGAACUCGGCAAAAUACCCCCGUAACUUCGGGAGAAGGGGGGCUAAUUUUUGUGUAGAGGUUUACCUUCGAAGCAUAAGUUAGACGCAGAGAAUAGGCUCAAGCGACUGUUUACCAAAAACACAGGUCCGUGCGAAGUUGCAAAACGAUGUAUACGGACUGACGCCUGCCCGGUGCUGGAAGGUUAAGGGGACUGGUUAGCCGCAAGGCGAAGCUGAGAACUUAAGCCCCAGUAAACGGCGGUGGUAACUAUAACCAUCCUAAGGUAGCGAAAUUCCUUGUCGGGUAAGUUCCGACCUGCACGAAUGGCGUAACGACUUGAGCGCUGUCUCCACCAUGAACUCGGCGAAAUUGCAGUACGAGUAAAGAUGCUCGUUACGCGCGGAAAGACGGAAAGACCCCGGGACCUUUACUAUAUCUUGAUAUUGGUACUCGGAACGUUCUGUGUAGCAUAGGUGGGAGACUUUGAAGCGGCACGCCAGUGUUCGUGGAGUCAAAAAAUGAAAUACCACUCUGAACGUUUUGAGUUUCUAACCUCGGCCCAUUAUCUGGGUCAGGGACAGUGUCUGGUGGGUAGUUUAACUGGGGCGGUUGCCUCCCAAAAAGUAACGGAGGCGCUCAAAGGUUCCCUCAGCCUGGUUGGUAAUCAGGUGUCGAGUGUAAGUGCACAAGGGAGCUUAACUGUGAGACAGACAUGUCAAGCAGGUGCGAAAGCAGGAACUAGUGAUCCGGCGGUGGCUUGUGGAAGCGCCGUCGCUCAACGGAUAAAAGGUACCCCGGGGAUAACAGGCUGAUCUUGCCCAAGAGUCCAUAUCGACGGCAAGGUUUGGCACCUCGAUGUCGGCUCGUCUCAUCCUGGGGCUGGAGUAGGUCCCAAGGGUUGGGCUGUUCGCCCAUUAAAGAGGCACGCGAGCUGGGUUCAGAACGUCGUGAGACAGUUCGGUCCCUAUCUUC